CCACCGCGCCUGUCCCUGUCCCUCUCGGGUCUUUUUGCGGUCUGGGCUUGCUGUUCCUCCCGCAGCACUCAGGAAGCCCUUACCCCAAAAAGUAUCUGCGGGGGGUCACGUCGGCGGGGGGGACA
rnacentral:pre_miRNA from 10 species